UGCCAGCCGCCGCGGUAAUACGGAGGGGGCAAGCGUUAUUCGGAUUUACUGGGCGUAAAGGGCGCGUAGGCGGCCUGGUCAGUGAGAAGUGAAAGCCCUCGGCUUAACCGAGGAACUGCUUCUCAUACUGCUAGGCUUGAGUAUGGGAGAGGAAAGUGGAAUUCCCGGUGUAGCGGUGAAAUGCGUAGAGAUCGGGAGGAACACCAGUGGCGAAGGCGGCUUUCUGGACCAUUACUGACGCUGAGGCGCGAAAGCGUGGGGAGCAAACAGGAUUAGAUA
rnacentral:rRNA from 1 species